AACGCGAAGAACCUUACCUACUCUUGACAUCCCGCGAACUUGGUAGAGAUACCUUGGUGCCUUCGGGAACGCAGAGACAGGUGCUGCAUGGCUGUCGUCAGCUCGUGUUGUGAAAUGGUGGGUUAAGUCCCGUAACGAGCGCAACCCUUGUCCUUAGUUGCCAUCAUUUAGUUGGGGACUCUAAGGAGACUGCCGGUGACAAACCGGAGGAAGGCGGGGACGACGUCAAGUCAUCAUGGCCCUUACGAGUAGGGCUACACACGUACUACAAUGGCAAGUACAGAGGGCCGCGAAGCCGCGAGGUGGAGCUAAUCUCACAAAGCUUGUCGUAGUCCGGAUUGGAGUCUGCAACUCGACUCCAUGAAGUCGGAAUCGCUAGUAAUCGCAAAUCAGAAUGUUGCGGUGAAUACGUUCCCGGGUCUGUACACACCG
rnacentral:rRNA from 1 species